rnacentral:lncRNA from 1 species
CUUUGGUGUUAAUGGUGUAUGUUUUAUAUAUGACGUCAUCGUUAACUGGACGCGUCUGACCAGGACGAAAAGUUCACUUUGUUUUGUGGUCAAGCCGAAAAUUGAAAAAAAAUAUGGAUAGGGGUGAAGUUAAGAGUGAUUUUUAAAGGUAAUUCAAAUAGAUUAUUCCGAAAAUGAUAUAUCUUUUUAUUCCGUAUAUAAUAAGGAAAAAAAUAUAAAAA